rnacentral:rRNA from 1 species
UUGUUGGUAAGGUAAAAGCUUACCAAGGCUUCGAUCAGUAGCUGGUCUGAGAGGACGACCAGCCACACUGGGACUGAGACACGGCCCAGACUCCUACGGGAGGCAGCAGUGGGGAAUUUUGGACAAUGGGGGCAACCCUGAUCCAGCCAUGCCGCGUGAGUGAAGAAGGCCUUCGGGUUGUAAAGCUCUUUCAGCCGGAACGAAACGGUUACGGUUAAUACCCGUGACUACUGACGGUACCGGAAGAAGAAGCACCGGCUAACUACGUGCCAGCAGCCGCGGUAAUACGUAGGGUGCGAGCGUUAAUCGGAAUUACUGGGCGUAAAGCGUGCGCAGGUGGUUUUGUAAGUCAGAUGUGAAAGCCCCGGGCUCAACCUGGGAACUGCGUUUGAAACUACAAGACUAGAGUGUGGCAGAGGGGGGUGGAAUUCCGCGUGUAGCAGUGAAAUGCGUAGAGAUGUGGAGGAACACCGAUGGCGAAGGCAGCCCCCUGGGUCAACACUGACGCUCAGGCACGAAAGCAUGGGGAGCAAACAGGAUUAGAUACCCUGGUAGUCCAUGCCCUAAACGAUGUCAACUAGUUGUCGGGCCUUUACGGGCUUGGUAACGUAGCUAACGCGUGAAGUUGACCGCCUGGGGAGUACGAUCGCAAGAUUAAAACUCAAAUGAAUUGACGGGGACCCGCACAAGCGGUGGAUUAUGUGGAUUAAUUCGAUGCAACGCGAAAAACCUUACCUACCCUUGACAUGUAUCGAAGCCCGCAGAAAAGCGGGGGUGCCCGAAAGGGAACGAUAACACAGGUGCUGCAUGGCUGUCGUCAGCUCGUGUCGUGGGAUGUUGGGUUAAGUCCCGCAACGAGCGCAACCCUUGUCAUUAAUUGCCAUCAUUUAGUUGGGCACUUUAAUGAGACUGCCGG